UUGUAUAGAACAGGAUAUUAAAUUGUGCAGACCGAGAGCGAUUGUAAAGAAAGCUACUCAUUAGUCAAGACCGAAACUUUCAUUUACAAGUAGCUUAUUUAAUGAAAGGAAAUGUCACUUCCAGGUGGAAUCAGUUUAUGGAACCUGCUCAGUGUUUUCCUUCUGUUCGUUGGGAAUGUCCUUCACAUUGUAGGCUUGGCGACCCCAGAAUGGUCAACGGCUAAUGUUGUAGGUAUAUCAUACAGCGCCGGCUUAUGGAAGGGAUGUUCAGAUGGUUUGUGUGUGGAUUACCCUCAGAAACCUGCCGCCCUUGAAGCUUGCGAAGCCAUGGCCAUCAUUGGCAUGUUGUUCAGCUUUUUUGCUAUAGCAGCGGUUGGGAUUGGAAUAUAUUUCAAAAUCACAGGAACACCUACGGUAGCGAAAUUUCAUCACUUUGCAACAGUAAUGUCCAUCAUAUCACUUGUGUUUAUCUUGAUUGGCGUCAUAGUAUGGGGAGCUGAAUUGCACGAUUCAAAUUAUUAUAUGAAGAUUGGCUAUUCGUUUAUCCUGAGUAUCGUGGGCGGCAUUCUCAUAGCCAUCGGAGGGGUGAUGUACAGCUGUACUAUUACUAAUGUGGAUUAAA